CCGCCGCUUUGCCGUCAUAGAGGGAGUGAGAGAGCGACGCACAAGCCAGUAAGAGAGGAAGAUGUCGUCGCCGCCGCGCCUUGCCGCUAUCAGCUUGGCGGUCGCCGUUCUGCCUUCCAUCAAGGCCGUUCCGCCGCUGUUCGCAGAGGGAGAGAAAGCAAGCGCCCCAGAGGAAGCGAGAGAGACCGAAGCUGCGAGAGAGGAGAAGUGACGAACGAAGCUGCCGCUGUUGUAACUGUUUCUCACCGCCAUUGACGCCGGAAAAUGCCACUGUUGGAGUCACUGUCCUCUGCUCAGCCCCUGUUUCUGCUACUGUUUACGCUGGCUCAGCCACUGCCGCCACAACCCGUCUCGGAUUUCUUCUAAUUUCUACACUCGGAGCAAAUCUUUGAAGAUGUCAAAGCUACAUUGGAUCUAUGGUUGGAUAUUUCUCCUCUUGGUUGCUUUGAGGAUGGAGACUGUUCUCUGCCUGACAGUAGAAUGAUUCUAGUCUGCAAUAUAAUAGAUUUAAUGCAACUGAAGGGUUUCAUGGAACUCUCCGGUAAUGCAUACAAGCUGCUGACUAGAAUGUUUGAAUGGAAGAAUAUCUCAAUUGAGACGUGGUUGACUUUUCUUUGGGAAAGUAGAAGGCUAAGUCAUGCCCUAUGUGUUUCACCUAUUUGUGAGGCAUUCCAGAAUUCAUUAGAGCGCUUUAAUGAACUUUCAAAUAUUGAAUCCUAGACACGUUAUCUUAAACGAAACCAUUCAUCAUUAAUAGGAUUUCAGCAGAUUUUCUCAUUUUUACUUUCUAGCUCUCAUAAGAACUCUUGUUGUAAUGAAAACCCUUUUCAAAAUGACAUUACAGCUGAUGAUGUUCAAAAGGCUGCUCCGGAACUGAUUUCAAAUGUAAGGUUCUUUUUCAGGCAGAUUUUAUCAUGCUCUUUUAUCCAAAAUCAUCACUCUGUUCUCUUUUAAUCUUAUCCUAGGUUUCUGUUUCAAAUCAUUCCACUUUUCUUGCUGGUUAUAUUUAGUUAUUUACUAUGAUUUGUGCCCACUGCCCAAGGCUUGUUGCAAAUGGACGGUUAAUAGAGGUAAGUAUCAUUGAUUUUGAUUCAAUCUAAAUUCUUGUGUUACCCAUUGGCUGCCUUAAAUUUUUUAAGUAAUAGAUAAGUGCUAUUUGAAACAUGUGUCAUACUUGUCUUCAUUGUUCUAUUUUAAUAAGAGAUUGCAAAACUGGUGUAUAUUUUAUCUCCGACUUGGGUUAAUAGUGAAAACAUACAUGAACUUGAAAAUGGAUUUGGACAUGAUAUGGUCUAAGAAAGGGCAGUCCAGUGCACAAACAUCCUGUGUUACACAGGAUUUCUGGAAAGGCUGUACUCAAUGGGUAAUGUAAGUGGUCUAACCUACGGCAAGCACCACAUUUGUGACUGUGAGGUAAAAUGGAGAAAACUAAACAGUUGCUCCAAGGGUCCCUUUCAUGAAAUGGUCUAAAUCAAAGUCAAAAAUUCAAAAAUUUUAAUACAUCUAUAUAUAGGUCCAAAUGCAUUUUUACUUUCCUCCUUCUAGCUUCUACCUUUUCAUUCAAGCACGUCUUAAUUAUUUUAAAACAAGGUUUUUUUAUUAACUUCAAAAUUCUUUGUCUUGUAGCUGUAGGUCUAUGGACACGUGUCUUAUCUUCUUCCAAUUCAAAUUGACUUCUUGAAAGAAUAUAUAUCAAGUUAAUUUCAUUCCAUACGUGCUGGUUUGCAAUGGGUUGAAUUUUUUUCAUUAACUUGUUAGAAAUAAAGAUAUUUCUCUCUGACCUAGUAUAAGGCAUAACUAAUUUUUUUACUGAUGGAGAAAAAAUACAUAGAAAGGGGAGGGGGUGGUGUAGGUUGUCCCAUUUUAGGGUUAGGGCCAUGCAUAAAUUGUAACAAGAGCUAACAAUGUUACUUUUAGUUGACCUAAUCAAUGAAGGACAUGUUGUAUUCUUCUUUUUAAGUAUAUAUAGCAUCGGUUUACAUUUUUCCCCAGCUCACAGUAUCUCUUUUUCUUAUUUAUUUGCUAGGCUCUUUCAUUUGCAAAGGAAGCCCACCAUUUACAUUCUCAGCUCUUUCAUAAAGAGUACAAUGUUAUCUUAGUCCAUAGAAAAUAUUGAGGAUCUUAAGGAAGCCCACCAUUUAAUUUCUCAGAGGAUCUUAAGGAACUUGAGAGACUUGAAAUGAUAAAAUCAGUUGCUAAGGGAGCUUUGCUAUUUGAUUCUACAAUUACAUCAUGGCACUUGGAAGAAUGUUAUCUUAGUCCAUAGAAAAUAUUGCAGUAUCUAGAGAGCACUCUUCAGGCUUGACUUUGUCACAUCAUUUAUCUUGUACUUUGAGUCAAAUCUAUUUGGUGAAUUGGUGGUAUUUUGUUAUGCACUACAAUUCGAUUUCAUUCAUCUAUGGAGGUAGGAGUUAUCUA